UACGGAGGGUGCAAGCGGUGUCCGGAUUUAUUGGGUUUAAAGGGUGCGUAGGCGGCUAUUUAAGUCAGCGGUGAAAGACUUCGGCUCAACCGGAGCAGUGCCAUUGAUACUGGAUAGCUUGAGUGUUGGAAGGGUACAUGGAAUUGAUGGUGUAGCGGUGAAAUGCAUAGAUACCAUCAGGAACACCGAUAGCGAAGGAAUUGUACUGGCCAACAACUGACGAUGAGGCACGCAAGUGUGGGGAUCAAACAGG
rnacentral:rRNA from 1 species